UGGAAACAACAGAGCUAGAAUAUAUAAACCUUACAAUACUGGAAAAGCCUGUGCCAAAUGUCAACAUGGCUGUGACAGAACCCUUUGCAAACCUCAAUCAUAAAAAGAAAUCAUUCAACACAUUCAACUUUGAUUCAAAAGAAGAAAAAUAAGAUUAAUAAAAUUACCAAAUGUAGACAAUUGCUUUAAAAAAAAUCACUGAUUAUAUUUACAGGUAUGAACUGUGGUCUAAAUACAAUUUUGCUUUGAAAUCUUUGGUCACAAUGUGUAUUUAUCAGAGUUUUUAGCAGAUAAACAGAAUUGUUUGUGUUGCUUGUUUUUCUUUACGCUAACAAAUAAAUCAACUCUUGAUUAACCAA